UACAGAGGGGGCAAGCGUUGUGCGGAAUUACUGGGCGUAAAGGGCGCGUAGGCGGCCUUCUAAGUCGGACGUGAAAUCCCCAGGCUCAACCUGGGAACUGCGUCUGAUACUGGAUGGCUUGAAUCCGGGAGAGGGAUGCAGAAUUCCAGGUGUAGCGGUGAAAUGCGUAGAUAUCUGGAGGAAUACCGGUGGCGAAGGCGGCAUCCUGGACCGGCAUUGACGCUGAGGAGCGAAAGCCAGGGGAGCAAACGGG
rnacentral:rRNA from 1 species